CUUACGCCUUUAAGAUCCGGUUGC
rnacentral:siRNA from 1 species